rnacentral:rRNA from 1 species
AUUGAACGCUGGCGGCAUGCCUAACACAUGCAAGUCGAGCGGAGUGGCGGACGGUGAGUUAUGCCUAGGAAUCUGCCUGGUUGUGGGGGAAAACGUCCGGAAACGGGCGCUAAUACCGCCAACUUUCAGAUGAGCCUAGGUCGGAUUAGCUAGUGGGUGGGGUAAAGGCCUACCAAGGCGACGAUCCGUAACUGGUCUGAGAGGAUGAUCAGUCACACUGGAACUGAGACACGGUCCAGACUCCUACGGGAGGCAGCAGUGGGGAAUAUUGGACAAUGGGCGAAAGCCUGAUCCAGCCAUGCCGCGUGUGUGAAGAAGGUCUUCGGAUUGUAAAGCACUUUAAGUUGGGAGGCGUUACCAACAGAAUAAGCACCGGCUAACUUCGUGCCAGCAGCCGCGGUAAUUC